rnacentral:rRNA from 1 species
AGUGACGGUACCUGAGGAAUAAGCAUCGGCUAACUCCGUGCCAGCAGCCGCGGUAAUACGGAGGAUGCAAGCGUUAUCCGGAAUGAUUGGGCGUAAAGGGUCCGCAGGUGGCAUUGUAAGUCUGCUGUUAAAGAGUCACGCUCAACGUGAUAAAAGCAGUGGAAACUACAAAGCUAGAGUAUGGUCGGGGCAGAGGGAAUUCCUGGUGUAGCGGUGAAAUGCGUAGAUAUCAGGAAGAACAUCGGUGGCGAAGGCGCUCUGCUAGGCCAAAACUGACACUGAGGGACGAAAGCUAGGGGAGCGAAUGGGAUUAGAUACC